rnacentral:rRNA from 1 species
AGUAACACGUGGAUAACCUGCCUAUAAGACUGGGAUAACUUCGGGAAACCGGAGCUAAUACCGGAUAAUAUAUUGAACCGCAUGGUUCAAUAGUGAAAGACGGUUUUGCUGUCACUUAUAGAUGGAUCCGCGCCGCAUUAGCUAGUUGGUAAGGUGACGGCUUACCAAGGCAACGAUGCGUAGCCGACCUGAGAGGGUGAUCGGCCACACUGGAACUGAGACACGGUCCAG